rnacentral:rRNA from 1 species
UACGAAGGGGGCUAGCGUUGUUCGGAAUCACUGGGCGUAAAGCGCACGUAGGCGGACUUUCAAGUCAGGGGUGAAAUCCCGGGGCUCAACCUCGGAAUUGCCUUUGAUACUGUAGGUCUCGAGUCCGGAAGAGGUGGGUGGAAUUCCUAGUGUAGAGGUGAAAUUCGUAGAUAUUAGGAAGAACACCGGUGGCGAAGGCGGCCCACUGGUCCGGUACUGACGCUGAUGCACGAAAGCGUGGGGAGCAAACAGG